GGAGAGGUGCCUGAGCGGUUGAAAGGGCCCGUCUCGAAAACGGGUAUAGAUGAAAGUCUAUCGCGGGUUCGAAUCCCGCCCUCUCCG
rnacentral:tRNA from 1 species